CAGCAGCCGCGGGAACACGAAGGGUGCAAGCGUUACUCGGAAUUACUGGGCGUAAAGCGUGCGUAGGUGGUGGUUUAAGUCCGUUGUGAAAGCCCUGGGCUCAACCUGGGAAUUGCAGUGGAUACUGGGUCACUAGAGUGUGGUAGAGGAUAGUGGAAUUUCCGGUGUAGCAGUGAAAUGCGUAGAGAUCGGAAGGAACAUCUGUGGCGAAGGCGACUAUCUGGGCCAACACUGACACUGAGGCACGAAAGCGUGGGGAGCAAACAGGAUUAGAUACCCGAGUAGUCCCUGUCUCUUAUAC
rnacentral:rRNA from 1 species